rnacentral:lncRNA from 1 species
UUUUUUUUUUUUUUUUUUUUUCCUUCCCCCUCCAUAAACAAGUGAUUAAUGCCUUGCAAAAAGGCACAGACACACCUUCCCCACAGCAAGGGAGCCCCUGCCAGAUUCCCCAGCCUUAAUUCUGCUGUUAACACCCCUCAGGGGGAGGGGUGAAGAGUAAAUCCCCUCCUGCAAGAAGCAGACCUGCGGGCAAUGUGGUUUGUUUAAAGUCUCUGAGCUGAGCCACCGACCUCCCAUUUGCUCUGAUGACGUGAGUACUUCAAAAAGAAAAAGAAAAAAACAAAAAAAAAAACCCAACUCAUCUUUACCUAAGGCAGCACCCAGUUUGUAAAUGUCUCUGCAUAGGACCCUCCCAAAUGGACAUGACCAUGGCAGAAUUUUCCCUUCCUUCUCCCAGCGCCAGUGAACAGAGGGGGGAGCUCCAUGAAUCAACAUUUUCAGAGAGUUUCACAGGCUCCUUUUUCCAUUGAGUUUGCAAGGGGCAUCUUGACUGAAUUAAGAAAUAAAUUCCUGACGAACUUGUGCACACUUUUGGACAAUGAACGAACUGAACACUGAGUGCAAGAAGAAAUCUUAGGCACAUUUAUUUAUUUAUUAUUUAUUUUUUAUUUAUUUUUUGUUUGUUUUUUUUUUGUCUUUUUGUCUUUUCUAGGGCCUCUCCCUUGGCACAUGGAGGUUCCCAGAAAAAGCAAAAAGACAAAAAAUAAAAAAGAAAAGAAAAGUUUGGAAACCAUUAGCCUAGACCAUGAAAACCAGUAGACAUUUAAUCCCUGCUCUGCCAAAUGUAGCCAAAGAGCAGGUUGGCCAAAGAGGAACAAUGAAAUCUAACAUUUACUGGGCACCAGUUCUGUGGCAAGGAUUAGAAUAAAUUCUCUCUCCUGAGUGAUCUUGUCUUUCCUGUUCAUCAGCUGUGAGAGACUAAUAGGACUGGCUCCAUUUUUAUGGAUAAGGAAACUGAGGCCCCGAGAGGCACGAUCUGGUGCCAAAACAAGAAUAGUCACUGAUGAGCUAAGACAUCUAGCCAUUAGGAGUUUUUUCUCUGUGACCUUGGAACAAUUACUUUUCCUCUCUGAGCCUUAGUCUCCCCAGUCUUAGAGGACUGGGCUAAGGAUUCAUUGGGUCCAUUGUAACUCUUUGGUCUUCAUCCCCCUCCUCCAUGACCUUCCUGUUGCUUCCUUUCUUCUGUCUUCCCAGGAAUGUGUCAGAGGCAGCCUGGUAUGGCAGAAAGAGAACCUGAGUACUGAGUUCCAAUUCUAAUCCUGUCUUACGCAGACCCUGGUGAAUCACUUAACCUCUCUGAGCCUCACUUUCCCCAACAAUAAAAUGGGGAGGAAAAGAAGAACUACCUUUGAGCAUUGCUGGGAUGAUGGAGUCGAUGAAUGGAGUGCCCAGUCCAGCAGGCGCGAUAUAGCAGGUGUUCAAGUAAAGGUGCAUUCUCUGCACUGCUUUCUCUCAACUUCCCCAGUCACCCCCAUGGCUUGGUUCAUCCCCCUUCCCCGGGCUCGGCUGAAAUGUCACCUUCUCAGUGAGGCCUCCUCUGACCACCCUUUAAAACUAAAUGCCUUUGGCGUUGAUAGAUGCAACCUGUUGCAUUUGGAGUGGAUGGGCAAUGAGACCCUGCUGUAAAGCACAGGAAACUAUAUCUAGUCACUUGCGAUGAAGCAUGAUGGAGGAUAAUGUGAGAAAAAGAAUGUGUGUGUGUGUGUGUGUGUGUGUGUGUGUGUGUGUGUGUAUGACUGGGUCACUUUGCUGUACCACAGAAAUUGGCAGAACAUUGUAAAUCAACUAGAAUAGAAAACAAUAAAAAUCUUUAAAAAAAUAAAUAAAUAAAACUAAACCCUACGAUCCCCCAUUUACAACUCCAUUUUCUGAUUUACUUUUUUCUGUGAGACUCAUCACCACCAAACAUUUAUUUUUCCUGUUUAUUGUGCUUCUCAUUAUUCUCUCCCCUCCUGGAAAGGCCUUGGGAAUCAGUCAUUUUUACGUGCCUGGCUUGCUGCUGUUUUCUUAGCCUAAGAGACAUAGUGGGUCCUUGUAGAUAUUUGCUGAAUGAAAAUGAGAUGAAUGAAUGAAUAUUUGAUCUGGUAAUGAUACCUUCAGAUAAUGCAGGAAAAGCACAGGGCAUCGGUCUUGCACAGAGUAGCUGGGCCAUAAAUGCUCUUGUUCUUGUUUUAUUGGGACCCCAGAAUCCGCUGAGGUUACCCUGUUCAACUUUAAGCUAUACUCGAUUUACCUGAGGAUGUUUCAACAGUUUCCAGCUUUCUUAUUUCUAUUAUCCCUUAAACAGACCUCCAAGUGCCUGUCCCAGUAGCUCAGAGUUCUCUAAGCUGUAUUUCACCAAAGGCUGUAACUGUUACUGUCCCAGGGCCAUUUGCAACUUUCCUUUCCUGAGCACAGAGGUUUGACUAAGCACUUUGUUUAAAGGCAGGAAAUGCAUCAGCUCCCUGUCUUAAUCUUUUUGAAGCGGUUACCCAGGGCUAAGGUCGGGCUUGUCUACAGAUGCUUUGUGCCAAAAGAGUGCCACAGGUAUUAUGGUGUCGGUGAAGAAGAAAAAGCAGUCAUUCUUUAGGUGGGAAUGAAUUCUUUAUGUUUCAGAGGGGGCAGAGCUGCCCAGAACAUCACCCUAGAGGUGGAGCAUGGGUGUGUUAGGAUGGGGGUACUGACAGACACUUUGGGGAGAAACUUGCCCUCUCUGAGCCAAACCAUCCCAAGCCAGGCCUUGCUCCCCUCUGGGCCUGCUGAGAAUUAUUCCUUGAAACGUUGUUGAUAAUGGCUUUCCUCUCUGUGCUAGCACGAGGUAUCUGCUGAGGGACAUCCAGGGAUCAAACCCGCAUCCAUAGACAUGGAUACUAUGUCAGAUUCUUAACCCGCUGAGCCACAAUGAGAACUCCUGCUUUUAUAUUUUUAAUAUUGCUUUUAUUCAAAAUUGUAAUCUUAGACCAAGAAGAGAAUUUUGAGGCGGUAUCCACAGGCUUCAUGAGAUUGUCCAAAGCAUCUGUGAUCCAAAAAGGUGGUGAAGCCAUUCUUGGUGAUGGAGAAGAGGAAGGGAGGCCUUGAGCCAUGAUUCUGGGGCUCAGGGAGUUGCAGAGCUUAGAAACCCAAAGUGGGAACACAGGAUCCUUGAUAUGGUGACACCAUUAAAAAGCUUUAGGAAAGCACACUGAGCAGUAUUCUCCAAAAAUGUCAAAAGGGGAGUUCCCUGUGGGCCUAGCAGUGAAGGAUCCAGCAUUGUCACUGCUAUGGUGUAAGUUUGAUGCCUGGCCCAGGAACUUUCACAUGUCACUGGUAGAGCCAAACCCACUCCCCCUCCAAAAUGUCCAAAGGGGUUCCAGGGUGGAAGCAGAACAUAGCUUUUUGUUUAUUUAUUUUAGAGCUGAACCUGCGACCUAUGGAGGGUCCCAGGCUAGGGGUUGAAUUGGAACUGCAGUUGCCGGCCUACACCACAGCCACAGCAGUGCCAGAUCUUUAACCCACUCAGAGAGGCCAGGGAGCGAACCC